rnacentral:lncRNA from 1 species
CACCUCAUCUUCAAUAGCCCAAAUGUUCUCUCUAUCACAUUUCUAGCAGUUGAAUGGCGCAAAUUGAAUAGUUCUUUGGCAGUGGAUGGGUUAUGCCCUUGAGCAGCCCACUCAUUCAAGUGGUAGCGAGUGGAUCGAUAUGGAGCAAGAAAGCCCGGUCCAUUGGUGUAUCCCGCAUCUACUAGAUAGUAUUUCCCACUUGGAAUAACAAAUGCAUCGUCCCGAGACAUUGCAUCACGUAGCACACGUGAAUCUGAAGCUGAUCCUUCCCAUCCCGCUAAGACGUAAACAAAUUUCAUGUGACGAUCACAAACCCCUAAAACAUUGGUGGUAAUCUGUUGCUUCCUAUUCCUAUACCUCCCUUGGUCAGCUAAAGGCACAAAAACGUCAAUGUGUGUACCAUCUAAUGCUCCAAGGCAAUCUUCAAACCACUUCCACUUGGAAUCCUCAGGUUGUACAGCUGAUGGAUCAGGAAGCUUGAUAAAUUCAUGGCAUAAUGAUAGAAUACCUCUAAGCACCUCAUUGAAGUGACGGCAGAUUGGCUCAAGUGACCAUCCAUAUGAGCUACGAAUCAUCCUCAUCUUAGUGCCAUGACCCACUACAAGCAAAAAGAUUGCUACCUUUUCUUCUACCGACACAUUCUUGUUAUCACACAUACCACAUCUCUCACGUAAGAUGGCACAUAGGUCAUAAAAUGAUCUCUUAGUUAGGCGCAAACUAUCAUAGCAAUAGACAUUUGAUCCUUGGUACAGAUUUCUUAGCAUUUGUUUGCGUGUAGCUACAUCUCUCUCAACCACUUCAUUCGGAUCAACAAUAUGUCUAGGUCUCUUACGCUGAUACCAGUGCACAAUCAUGCUCAUGACAGCAGAAACAAAUAAAGCAGCCACCCUUUUUCUCUUUUUCCUACUCAUCUCUCUCAUUUGCUCCAUGCUUGUAUUAACCAAGUCUAUGUUGUUGUCAGGCAUCUAAAGCACAUAUGCAAAAAGGAAUAUUUUAUUUGACCAGAAACAAAGCAGUACAUACAAUAAUACAUUGCCACAUAGCAAAACAGAGUUCUUUUAAUUUAGUUCUUUACAUCACUGUCAAGCAAACAAGCAGCAGCAAAAGAUCUGACCAUAGUAAGCUGACCACAUUAGCAAAAGAUCUGACCAUAGUAAGCUUCCUUAGGAAAUUGUGUUGAUGGCUGCACACAAGGUGCUCCAGGAACUACACAUCUUAGAGUCAACUGAACAAAUCAAUAUCCUAAUUCCUCCCAGACCUAGAACUAAUAACCUGUGAACUCAGAACCUCACUCCUAGCUACAAAGGGGAAAAAUGAAUUGCAGAGGAUGCCUUGCUGACUACUGAAACAAUAGAAACGAUAUCAUAUGUAAGGUAUUAAAAAAAACAAGGACUCAAUCUGAGGGUGGGUCUUUCGCAGCUGCUCUAAAUAACUCUAUCAUAUGUAAGGUAUUGUACUCUGACCACUUGGUGGCAGGGAUAAUUUAUGUAACCUACCAAGAUUCAACUCUACCAAAAUGAAACUUAGGCUCACUGUCACUACGGCCUGAAAAUAAUGGGCGCUCAGACUCUGAAAAAAGUGAGAAGAAACGAAGAAAGGCAACGAUCUGGUGAGUUAAGCCUGGACAGUCCAUGCAAUUCUAAUGGGGUGAACUCCAAAGGUGAUGAGUCUAACCAAUCAGCAUUUAUAUAACUGAAUCUUCAUGCAUACGAAUAUGACCAGGACGUCGUAUUCCACAGAAGAAGGCAUGCAGGAGCAAUAUGAUGCAACGAGGAAAUAUCAAACAUGAGAAUCAAAAUGUACCAGACUAUCAUAUCUGACAACCAUCAGAUUUUGGAGGUGACAUUUCAAAAGGACCAAAAACUAUGAUUUUUCAACUAAGGAUCCACUCGCUAAUCUUUGAACUUACAAUGUAUCAAUGCCUCAGCAUAUCAGUUCCUUGCACCCUUCUUGAAGCCGCC